GCCAGACUAUGCAGAGAGAAAGACUCAAAUUAGAUUCUGUUAAAUUACUUUCAUGAUAGAAUCUAAGAAGACCAACAUUGUGGUGGAGAGAGAAGUUCAGCAUGGCUGGAUCUAAUAUUCCUAGCGACUGAGAUCUAACAAGUGUGCAUUCGGUUGGUGACGUUUAACAGGAAAGCUGUGCCUCGUUUCAGAUAAUUAGAUGUAAUUUGCCUCAUCAUCAACUCAUCAAAGGUGUUUUGCUGUAGUUCAGCGGUGUGUCCCAGGCAUCCCGUUCAUAGAGAACACGGUAGAUGGCCGGGGAGAUCUGGAGACCCGUCGCUUUGGCUAGAGAAGAUUCAGCUCGCAGCAUUAUAUGGUUUCCACUGGAAGGCUCAAAUACGUAGGAGGAAAUGUGUCUAAUGUCCUCAGGAAGUGAUGCGUAACAUGAGAACAGACUCACUCUCUGGGGGCACUCUGACUUUGUGGGGACAUCCUGAUAGACUCCGGUGAUGAGGGUAGAGGCCUGUCACAUGACCCGUCCC